CUUGCUUCUCUUGAGAGCGGCGGACGGGUGAGUAAUGCCUAGGAAUCUGCCUGGUAGUGGGGGAUAACGUCCGGAAACGGACGCUAAUACCGCAUACGUCCUACGGGAGAAAGCAGGGGACCUUCGGGCCUUGCGCUAUCAGAUGAGCCUAGGUCGGAUUAGCUAGUUGGUGGGGUAAUGGCUCACCAAGGCGACGAUCCGUAACUGGUCUGAGAGGAUGAUCAGUCACACUGGAACUGAGACACGGUCCAGACUCCUACGGGAGGCAGCAGUGGGGAAUAUUGGACAAUGGGCGAAAGCCUGAUCCAGCCAUGCCGCGUGUGUGAAGAAGGUCUUCGGAUUGUAAAGCACUUUAAGUUGGGAGGAAGGGCAGUAAAUUAAUACUUUGCUGUUUUGACGUUACCGACAGAAUAAGCACCGGCUAACUCUGUGCCAGCAGCCGCGGUAAUACAGAGGGUGCAAGCGUUAAUCGGAAUUACUGGGCGUAAAGCGCGCGUAGGUGGUUCGUUAAGUUGGAUGUGAAAUCCCCGGGCUCAACCUGGGAACUGCAUUCAAAACUGACGAGCUAGAGUAUGGUAGAGGGUGGUGAAAUUUCCUGUGUAGCGGUGAAAUGCGUAGAUAUAGGAAGGAACACCAGUGGCGAAGGCGACCACCUGGACUGAUACUGACACUGAGGUGCGAAAGCGUGGGGAGCAAACAGGAUUAGAUACCCUGGUAGUCCACGCCGUAAACGAUGUCAACUAGCCGUUGGGAGCCUUGAGCUCUUAGUGGCGCAGCUAACGCAUUAAGUUGACCGCCUGGGGAGUACGGCCGCAAGGUUAA
rnacentral:rRNA from 1 species